UACGGAGGGUGCAAGCGUUAUCCGGAUUCACUGGGUUUAAAGGGUGCGUAGGUGGGCAGGUAAGUCAGUGGUGAAAUCUCUGGGCUCAACUCAGAAGCUGCCAUUGAUACUAUUUGUCUUGAAUACCGUGGAGGUCAGCGGAAUAUGUCAUGUAGCGGUGAAAUGCUUAGAUAUGACAUAGAACACCAAUUGCGAAGGCAGCUGGCUACACGAAUAUUGACACUGAUGCACGAAAGCGUGGGGAUCAAACAGG
rnacentral:rRNA from 1 species